CGGCGGCGGCGGGAGUGGGUGGGGGGGCCGCGGCACGGCCUGGGUUGCUCAGCCAGUUCUUCCACAAAGGGAGCCAGCCUGAUUCCCCGACUCCCUCAUCAUUAGCUAAUCAGCCCUUCUUGUUUGAUGAGGACUAGCUCAUCCAUGGAACUUGGUAUCCACUGCAUCCCAGAACCAGGCCUUCUUGGAUUCUGAGGAACCACUGUGCACCAGCUGAAGGAAAAGUAAUCACGACCCCGGGGGUUCAUCCUUGGCUACUGCUCCCAUUCUCUCUGAGCAGAGGCUGGCUUAGAAACAAGCGGAAACACGAGACUGUCCUCUGCAUAGUGACCACCUCUGCAGAAAGUUUCGAAGCGAAGACAGAAGAUUGAACAGUGUGUGUCGAAUCCUGCUGUUUUGCCAAGGAAGGGGGAAAAGCAUAGACACACUGGAUUGGCUGAGGAGAAUGACCCCCGGACAGGCACCCAGGACCAUAGCUGUCCCCAGGGUAGAUCUGGAAGUCACAAAGCAGGGCAGCAGGGGGACUUUCUCCUGAGGUCCUUUUGAAGUCUGUGAAUAUAUUAUGUAUUCAAAAGUACCCUGAAAGGGAAAUACAAAUCAGAUGGAGACGCCA